rnacentral:rRNA from 1 species
GAUGAACGCUGGCGGCGUGCCUAACACAUGCAAGUCGAGCGGACACACGAUGAGCGCUCUCCUCUGACGUUAGCGGCGGACGGGUGAGUAACACGUGCAUAACCUACUUCUUAGACGUGGAUAACUUCGGGAAACCGCAUCUGAUACCACAUAACACGUCCUACCGCUUGGAUCAACAGUUAAAGACGCUCUUGCCGUCACUAAUAGAUGGAUCCGCGUCGCAUUAGCUAGUUGGUAAGGUAACGGCCUACCAAGGCAACGAUGCGUAGCCGACCUGAGAGGGUGAUCGGCCACACUGGAACUGAGACACGGUCCAGACUCCUACGGGAGGCAGCAGUAGGGAAUAUUGGGCAAUGGGCGAAAGCCUGAUGCAGCAACGCCGCGUGAGUGAAGAAGGUCUUCGGGUCGUAAAGCCCUGUUGUUGGGGAAGAAAAAAUGUGUAUGUAAAUAUCGCUGUUUUGACGGUACCUAAAGAGAAAGCACCGGCUAACUACGUG